rnacentral:rRNA from 1 species
CCUACGGGAGGCAGCAGUGAGGAAUAUUGGUCAAUGGGCGAGAGCCUGAACCAGCCAAGUCGCGUGAGGGAAGACGGUCCUAUGGAUUGUAAACCUCUUUUGCCGGGGAGCAAAAAGCGGUACGUGUACCGCAUCGAGAGUACCCGGAGAAAAAGCAUCGGCUAACUCCGUGCCAGCAGCCGCGGUAAUACGGAGGAUGCGAGCGUUAUCCGGAUUUAUUGGGUUUAAAGGGUGCGCAGGCGGCGAGUUAAGUCAGCGGUAAAAUUUCGGGGCUCAAACCCGACGAGCCGUUGAAACUGGCGUGCUAGAGUGGGCGAGAAGUAUGCGGAAUGCGUGGUGUAGCGGUGAAAUGCAUAGAUAUCACGCAGAACUCCGAUUGCGAAGGCAGCAUACCGGCGCCCAACUGACGCUCAGGCACGAAAGCGUGGGUAUCGAACAGGAUUAGAUACCCCUGUAGUC